AGGUCCAUAGAAAGCAAGAAAAGCAGGGGAGGCGCUAGGGUUUUGAGCCCCUCCCCCUUUGUGCCGCUAACCAUAUUGCCUCUCCCUCUCUUGCAGCCGCCCAAACAUCAGGUCCAGGAUUUGAAAUCUCUUGCUAUGAGGUUGGUACAAGUUUCUCUUAGAUCUGGAGUUGAUCUGAGGUCGUUUGAGGUGCGGGUGAGAUCUUCAUCAACAGAUCUACAGGAAAGGCUGCAGCAGGACAGAUCUGUAAGGUCUGG
rnacentral:lncRNA from 1 species